UCCAUAAAUUUUUUGCAGCAGGCGAUGUCCUUUAGUAGUGAGGUCGCUAUGAUCAGUCGGAAAAGUGUUUCAGUGCCCCUUUAAGUGCUUCAAUUUUGUGCAUGUUAAAUUUGUAUGUUACUUACUUUCCAUUUAUUGAUAUGUUUAUAGUAAAGACAGCUCUAUCUGCUCUCUAGAGGUCAAUCAUUAGCAUUCACUGAA
rnacentral:lncRNA from 1 species